GAUCAUGGCUCGAGGAUGAACGCUAGCUACAGGCUUAACACAUGCAAGUCGGAGGGGCAGCAUGGUCUUAGCUUGCUAAGGCCGAUGGCGACCGGCGCACGGGGUGAGUAAACGCGUAUCCAACCUGCCUUACACUCUUGGACAGCCUUCUGAAAGGGAGAUUAAUACAAGAUGUUAUCAUGAGUAAGCAUUUUCACAUGAUUAAAGGUUUACCGGUGUAAGAUGGGGAUGCG
rnacentral:rRNA from 1 species